rnacentral:lncRNA from 1 species
AAUAAGCAUCUUAUGUUCUUACUAGAAUGUGAUAAACUACAAGCAUUUCCUAAGACACCCUUCUUCUGACACCAAAGCUAUUUACUCAACGAAAGACUAAUAAAUCUAUUUUAUUCCUUCCAGCUACUCCUAGAUUGAUCAGGAAAUUAAUUCUCUGGUAAAUUUGAUAUAAAGGUAACUCCAGAUAUAAAGGCCUGCAAAAACUGUACAGUAAUUCUAAUUUAAGUAGCUCCAAAAACUAUACCCAACUAGCUAAACGUCAUGUGCCAACUAACAAGUAUCAAGAUACAUCAUUCAUUGUCUCUUCGGAAUAUCCUAUCACCUGAGAUACACACAAACUAACGGGUGACCUCUUGUUGCAACACCUGCUUCACCCAUCCUCUUCACCCCUGGGCAUUUUCUCCGAAUAUCUACACUCUGCUCUGUUCCCUUAUCUAGAGUAGUAAUGGCUCUUAUUAACAUUAUUGCUUUUACUCACAUGAAUUAUUUCAUAUAAUCCUAAAACAGCUCUGUGAAGUGGGCAUUUUAAUCCCCACUUUCCAAAACAGAAAACCAAAGCACAUGGCACUUAAGUGACUUAGCCAAGGUCACUAAGCUGAUAAAAGGCAGAACUAAGACAAGAACUAAAAUGUCAGAUCCAUGCACUUAUUUCUAUCUCUGUAUGCUCUACAAAAACUAAAAGGCAGGAGGAAGGGAGAUCUACUCAGUCGUAAAGGAAUCCAAAAUUCAAAGACAGCAGACUAUUUUGAAUUGCAUGUAAUUUACUCCUCGAUCUAUGAAUGAACCACCCUUCUCAAGUGAUUCCUGCAAAAUCUAAGCCCUACUUCUCUCAUUUUACCCUACCUUUCCUUCUCUUCAACUCUGCAACACACACACACACACACACACACCAAUUACCCAUGAUCCAGGAACUUAGGUUUGGAGGAACUGAGGUGGACCUCUGGAAGAAAUCACAGGUAUUUUUUACAUCCGUGAGUGCUGGCUGCUGUUCCUGUACCACAGUCCCACCACCUAUGACCCAUUAGCCCACUGACCGCACAUCCAAAGUCUAUGUUGGCCCCACCACUGAGAACACCAGUGAAUGAGCAGAAAGGCAAGAAAGGCAUUUUCUGGUCUAGAUUGAAUUUUAUAAAACAGGAGAGAGAAACUGAGGCUACUAACAAAAAUUGGAUUUAAUGUGUUUCAUUCACUCUUCUUCCUUGGAUCCCUAUGUUGCUGGAUUUUGUGAACACAAUGAAUGCGGGAAAGCAUUUCGAUUCCUUGAUCUUGUGAUCAUUCCUGGGGGGGAAAAAAAUCCUUGAACACAGCAACAACCAAAAAAAAAGAAAAAGAAAAAAAGAAAGAAAGAAAGAUAAAGAAAAACCCUCUCACCUGCUACUUCAGAUGUUUUUAAAAUGGGAAUAGAAAAACCUCGUCCUUUUUUCCAAGGGUCUAGUGCCUGUACCACAUUGUCUCUCAUCUGUCAGUGUAUCCACACACAU